rnacentral:rRNA from 1 species
UACAGAGGUCUCAAGCGUUGUUCGGAUUCAUUGGGCGUAAAGGGUGCGUAGGCGGCUUAGUAAGUCGGGUGUGAAACCUCCAGGCUCAACCUGGAGACGCCACCCGAUACUGCUGUGGCUAGAGUCCGGUAGGGGAGCGUGGAAUUCCUGGUGUAGCGGUGAAAUGCGCAGAUAUCAGGAAGAACACCCGUGGCUAAGGCGGCUCUCUAGUACGGUACUGACGCUGAGACGCGAAAGCGUGGGGAGCGAACAGG